rnacentral:tRNA from 1 species
GACCUUACGGACAGGGAAGCUGCAGACUACGGUCUGGUAAUCCGCAGGUCGUAGGUUCGAGCCCUACUGGGGGCACCA